GCAAAACCGUUCCCGCUGAAAAUUAAAAACAGGGCGGGUUUCUCUCCCGCGACCAAAACCCUAUCCUUUAUUGGCUCCCUUUUCAUUCCUAGCAAUACCUCACUGCUCCAGGUCUCUUGGCCUUCUCCCUUCAAGAGAGAUUCUCAAUCAAUCGAACCAGCAUUGCAGGUCCUUCUCCUUCCGCCGAGGGUUUUGUAUUCUCUGCUGUUGCUGGUCCUUCCUUCGACUGAGAUGGAACUCUUCUUUAUUUCGUUUUAUUCCUUCACCGCGGCACAAAAUCUUGAAGAAGAAUGUCUGCUGUCUUUGUAGAGGAAUAGUAUGAUCUUGGAGCUCUGUAAUUGGUUGCUUCAAAGUUCCAGGAUGUUUUGCUCUCAAUUUCAUAGAAGGUAUGUAAUCGACAAGGUUUUGUAAUAAUCAGCAUUUGGUCAAGGAAGAAAUUGGGGAACCUAAGAGACUCAGAUGAAGUGCUAGUGAAACUUGGAUGCUCCUAAGAGAGGUUGUUCCAAGGCUCGUAGUACUAUUGCAGAGUAGGUCCUUCAUGGAGUACUUCAUUUUGUGUUCUGAAGUACCACACUGUCAGAUUUUAUCAGAUGAUAAAAGAUGACCAUGUAUGAUCAAUAUGGUGAAGCUAGAGUUAAGAGUUCUGCUGGGGGAUCAGCUGGAGCUAGCAUACAUGGUAUUGCAGAUCUGCUUCUGGAGGCAUUAAAUCAUUCCGCAGUGUUUUUCACCCAUGGCCAUUAGAUAUUAUGGUUUUAAUAUUUUUGGUUUUAAUAGACUCAUUAUCACUGUCAUUAUUUUCUUCAUCUUCUCGCCAUUUUAUGUUUUGCGGCUACAUGAUUCUUGUCCUUUUUGGCAAAAAGUUUGAAGUCUUGGGGAGAUCAGGUCAUUAAGGAACAACAUUUUACAAAUUGAGAUUUUUCGGAAGCAGUAUGUUUUCUAGAAUGUUAACCAAGAAAACUUCUAUUAUCUUAUGCCAUAUGCAUACCUACUGAUGAUGUUAACCUUUUUAUAGGAAGUAAUCUUUAUGCAGGUAAAUAUCAUGCUGAUAAAUACUUAGGUUUCUGCAUUAGUUGGGGUCCCUCCUUGCAAUUCUUUAUUGUUCACUUUUUCCAUUUUUAGUUUAGUUAAAGUUAGUUUUAAUGUGCAAUAAUUCUUUGUACUAUUGAUAUCCCACAUUGAAUAUGGAGUAUUGCUUGGAUGGAAUAUAACACGUUAAAGUCAGUUUUAAUAUGCAUGUACGUUUUCUUCAUGUUCUGAUUCAUUCUUCCUUUAAUAUCCCAUUUUGCAUCAUUGAGAGUCUUCAUUUUUAUGUAGGUUGCGUCAUAUGUUAUUACAAUUCCAAUGCAGCAGUUUCCCACUUUUUCAUGGUUUUAAAUGAUUUUGCUGGCCAUGUCCAUGAUAUUAACACUAACCAGUCACCUUGUCUCUUGUGAGAAUAGGUGUUGGGCUGAUGCCAAGUCUUGGCCCAUGAACCCAGGUCUUGAUCCCAAUAACAGGUAUGUGUCUAUAGAAGCAGAUCUUAAGUUGUCUAAUAUACAAGCUAAAGGUUGGAUGGAGAUAGAUAUUGAAUAGGGUUUAGGUGCUCCAUAUUGUGAACAGAAUAAUUAAAUGCCAAUGGUUUAAGGAGGGACAAGGGAUCAUUAUAUGUACCUAACUAACAACAUAGAAUCUAAUUGAUCACUAUCUAGGUACAGUAAGCCCAAGGCCUGUAUCAUAACAAACACAAGCAAGGGUGGUAGCACCCAAGCUCUUACACAUUUACUAAAAAAAAAAAAAAUAGAGCAACAAGGCAUGAACAGAACUUUUGAAAACAAGAAAAAAAAAAUUAGAUGAGAGAGAGAGAGAGCCGCCUAAUAUUUGCCCCCCCCCCCUUUUUUUUUUUUCUUUUUAUUCCAUUUCUAAUGAUUGAUUUCUUUCAUUGUUUCUUGUCCAUAAUUUGGACCUUGAUUAAUGUUUGGGAGGUUAUUUAGGAAGCCUCACAGAUUCUUUGGAAAGAUAGGACUGCAUCAAUGAGGAUUGAGGAAAGGUGAGGUUAUAAUUUCUACGAAAUUUCAAAUGGUCAGAAUCCACUUCUUGGAGAAACAACUUGAGGUUCUCUGCUGCAGCAGUUGCAG